GCCCUCAUCGUCUAGUGGCCCAGGACACCUCUCUUUCAAGGAGGCGACGGGGAUUCAAAUUCCCCUGAGGGUA
rfam:Selaginella moellendorffii plastid, complete genome.